GACGUAGGGCGCGAGCGUUGUCCGGAUUUAUUGGGCGUAAAGAGCUCGUAGGCGGCUUGUCGCGUCGAAUGUGAAAACCCACGGCUCAACUGUGGGCUUGCAUUCGAUACGGGCAGGCUAGAGUUCGGUAGGGGAGACUGGAAUUCCUGGUGUAGCGGUGAAAUGCGCAGAUAUCAGGAGGAACACCGGUGGCGAAGGCGGGUCACUGGCCCGUUACUGACGCUGAGGCGCGAAAGCUAGGGGAGCAAACAGG
rnacentral:rRNA from 1 species